GAUGAACGCUAGCGGCAGGCCUAACACAUGCAAGUCGAGGGGUAGAAGGAGCUUGCUCCUUUGAGACCGGCGCACGGGUGCGUAACGCGUAUGCAAUCUACCUUGUACAGGGGAAUAGCCCAGAGAAAUUUGGAUUAAUGCCCCAUAGUAUAUAACCUUCGCAUGUUGGUUAUAUUAAAGUUCCAACGGUACAAGAUGAGCAUGCGUCCCAUUAGUUAGUUGGUAAGGUAACGGCUUACCAAGACGAUGAUGGGUAGGGGUCCUGAGAGGGAGAUCCCCCACACUUGUACUGAGACACGGACCAGACUCCUACGGGAGGCAGCAGUGAGGAAUAGUGGUCAAUGGUCGCAAGACUGAACCAGCCAUGCCGCGUGCAGGAAGACGGUCCUAUGGAUUGUAAACUGCUUUUAUACAGGAAGAAACCCUCCCACGUGUGGGAGCUUGACGGUACUGUAGGAAUAAGGAUCGGCUAACUCCGUG
rnacentral:rRNA from 1 species